GAUGAAGAACGUAGCGAAAUGCGAUAAGUAGUGUGAAUUGCAGAAUUCAGUGAAUCAUCGAAUCUUUGAACGCACAUUGCGCCCGCCAGUAUUCUGGCGGGCAUGCCUGUUCGAGCGUCAUUUCAACCAUCAAGCCCCCGGGCUUGUGUUGGGGACCUGCGGCUGCCGCAGGCCCUGAAAACCAGUGGCGGGCUCGCUAGUCACUCCGAGCGUAGUAGUUACAUCUCGCUCAGGGCGUGCUGCGGGUUCCGGCCGUUAAAAGCCUUUUACCCCAAGGUUGACCUCGGAUCAGGUAGGAAGACCCGCUGAACUUAAGCAUAUCAAUAAGCGGAGGA
rnacentral:misc_RNA from 1 species